CGGCCUCAAACUAAUGAGUAAGGAAACUAACGCUUCCACUGAUAAUGGAGGCAUCGUAGAUUACGAUCCAAUUUUUGUAAGGGUAUGGAACGGCCUCAGUUUGGUGCUUAACCUCUUUGUUAAGUUGAACUCUGGCUGGUCCCCUU
rnacentral:snRNA from 1 species